CCUACGGGUGGCAGCAGUGGGGAAUAUUGCACAAUGGGGGAAACCCUGAUGCAGCGACGCAGCGUGAGUGAAGAAGUAUUUCGGUAUGUAAAGCUCUAUCAGCAGGGAAGAAAAUGACGGUACCUGAUUAAGAAGCCCCGGCUAACUACGUGCCAGCAGCCGCGGUAAUACGUAGGGGGCAAGCGUUAUCCGGAAUUACUGGGUGUAAAGGGAGCGUAGACGGUUAAGUAAGUCUGGAGUGAAAGGCCGGGGCCCAACCGCGGGACUGCCUUGGAAACUUUUAAACUUGAGUGCAGGAGAGGUAAGCGGAAUUCGUAGUGUAGCGGUGAAAUGCGUAGAUAUUAGGAGGAACACCAGUGGCGAAGGCGGCUUACUGGACUGUAACUGACAUUGAGGCUCGAAAGCGUGGGGAGCAAACAGGAUUAGAUACCCCAGUAGUC
rnacentral:rRNA from 1 species